rnacentral:rRNA from 1 species
UACGGUAGGGCGCAAGCGUUGUCCGGAAUUAUUGGGCGUAAAGAGCUCGUAGGUGGUUUGUCGCGUCUGUCGGUGAAACGCCCAUGGCUUAACUGUGGGUCUGCGGUGGAUACGGGCAGGCUAGAGGCAGGUAGGGGAGAACGGAAUUCCCGGUGUAGCGGUGAAAUGCGCAGAUAUCGGGAGGAACACCGGUGCGAAGGCGGUUCUCUGGGCCUGUACUGACGCGAGGAGCG